rnacentral:rRNA from 1 species
UACGUAGGGGGCAAGCGUUGUCCGGAAUCAUUGGGCGUAAAGAGCGCGUAGGCGGCCAGAUAAGUCCGGUGUGAAAGUCCCAGGCUCAACCUGGGAAUGCCGCCGGAAACUGUCUGGCUAGAGUCCGGAAGGGGCCAGUGGAAUUCCCGGUGUAGCGGUGAAAUGCGCAGAUAUCAGGAGGAACACCGGUGGCGAAGGCGGAUCUCUGGGCCUUACCUGACGCUGAGGCGCGAAAGCUAGGGGAGUGAACAGG